GAGCGCGCCUUCGGGUGAGCGGCGGACGGGUUAGUAACGCGUGGGAACGUGCCCUUCUCUACGGAAUAGCCUCUGGAAACGGAGAGUAAUACCGUAUACGCCCUUUGGGGGAAAGAUUUAUCGGAGAAGGAUCGGCCCGCGUUAGAUUAGGUAGUUGGUGGGGUAACGGCCUACCAAGCCUACGAUCUAUAGCUGGUUUUAGAGGAUGAUCAGCAACACUGGGACUGAGACACGGCCCAGACUCCUACGGGAGGCAGCAGUGGGGAAUCUUAGACAAUGGGGGCAACCCUGAUCUAGCCAUGCCGCGUGAGUGAUGAAGGCCUUAGGGUCGUAAAGCUCUUUCGCCUGUGAUGAUAAUGACAGUAGCAGGUAAAGAAACCCCGGCUAACUCCGUGCCAGCAGCCGCGGUAAUACGGAGGGGGUUAGCGUUGUUCGGAAUUACUGGGCGUAAAGCGCGCGUAGGCGGAUUAGAAAGUUGGGGGUGAAAUCCCGGGGCUCAACCCCGGAACUGCCUCCAAAACUGCUAGUCUAGAGUUCGAGAGAGGUGAGUGGAAUUCCGAGUGUAGAGGUGAAAUUCGUAGAUAUUCGGAGGAACACCAGUGGCGAAGGCGGCUCACUGGCUCGAUACUGACGCUGAGGUGCGAAAGUGUGGGGAGCAAACAGGAUUAGAUACCCUGGUAGUCCACACCGUAAACGAUGAAUG
rnacentral:rRNA from 1 species